CCUACCCCCUUCCCACUAGCAUCCCAAACCUUUAGACAACUUCAGGAAAAACAAAACUUUUCCCUUUGCAAAGAGGUUUUCUUGUAUUAAUUUAUGCCAGGUUAAACUGCAGCAAACAAAACAAGGGGCAUGGGAUUUUCUGGCCUGCUGCUACACAUACACACAUAGCUUCCUUUCCCAUGGCACAGUAGCUAGACCAGCAUAUUAAAUACUUCAGCAUGUUUUAUUUCAGUACUUUAAAAAAAGUAUCAAUAUCAAAGGGGAAACAAUACUUAUUAAAAUAUGCCAGAUGGAAUCUGCCAAAUACUGUGGUCUAUAAAUAGAGUUCAUCAAAUAGUGUAAGUAUAUUCUACAUUUUAACAAGGUCCUUCCCCUAAAGAGUUUACAGCAUAGUUCAGAUAAAUGAUACACUAAACACACUGAAUAAAAUAUUUAGACUAAUAAAUUUUCUUUUCAGCUAAACCCCAGUCAAAAAACAAGGUGUACAUUUUAAAGCUAUUUUUAUGAGUAAUCUGGUCUGAGUUAACAUGCUCAUUAGUCAAUAUUUUCUUUAAGCCAUUCAAAAUAUGCAAAAUUUGAGCAACUGUCACUUUUUCUGCAACACUCAGUAGUUAAUGAUUAACAUCUACAUCAGUCUUCAUUUGGGUUUAAUAGAAUAAAAUUGUUUUACAUCAUUACAAAGUGAUCAACAUCCGUUUUCAAAUUAAAAAUCUUUUUACUUCAUACCAAUAUUUAUUUCCACAUUUGUAUAUAUGUUAGCAGGAGUCCAUUGUGCUGAGCCACCAACUGAACCUUUUUUCUGACCAGCAGGGAAUCAAUAUUGGAUUGUUUAUCAUAGAUAAUAGCAGUGGUUCAAGGGAAAACAACACUGGUGGGGAAAUGUGCCAUGUAGGUGGACAAAAUCUGCCACACCUCCUAAAGUGUACUUCUAAUUUUUUUCUUAAUUACUAGUACCACAGUGACUGUUACUAACACUGGAUUGUCAUUUCCCCAAGAACAAGAUGUUUUUGGGGUAGAGGAGAGCAGGGCCCCUAUGUUUUAAGUAAUUUUCUGAGAUAAAUUAGCCCACCAGAAAUGUGUGCCCUAGUUUUACAGGGGAAGGGCCUGAAGGGGGUGGGGGAAGACAAGGACAUUUUAUUAAGCUAAUCUCAACUAUGUUCAUGUGUUCUGAAGGGGAAAAAAAUCUCUUAAGCAGAUCUGGAUUCAACAGAACACAAGCGAGUUUUCUUUCAUAUGCAAGACUGCAGGUCAAGGAAACUGUGGUGGGAGUUGGAGGACCCCCAUGGUUGAUAUGGAGAAGGAUGUCACUUCUCUGUCGGACAGGGCAUGCUGGUAGAAUCAGGUGUACUGCAGAAGCUUAAAUGAAACAUGCUGACAGGACAGGAGACUGCUUCCAAUGACAAAUCAGCAAGGAGAAAGUGGAAGACAGCUAGAUGUUUCAGCACACAUCCGACUCUGGGACUCACAACUCACCUCAUAACAUGAAUCAGAAUAAACUACACAGGAGCAUCAGGAAGUAUGUUCAUGUCUCUGAAUGCUUGAAUCCUUGUAACAUAUGGAAAAGCCCUGGUGUGGCCCCAGAGUUCCUGCACUUCUAGGCAGAU